GAUCUGGGUUGCUUGCUGAGGAGUGCUGCACAGUCAGGAGCCUCUUCACCAGCUGGAGAUGUGAGAUAGAUCCCUGGUUGACUCUACUCGCACCCUGCCUGCUUGGACUUAUGCUGGUUGUCAAAAUGAAAAAGCCUGGGGAAACCAGUGAAUUAUGAACGUGAGAGGCAGCUCCUCCAGACUUCUCUGCAAAGAAAACUGCCCAAGUUGUUACAGAUGGGGACACCAGCUACCUGAUCCCUGAAACGCCAAAGUCUUGCUGCAUGUCAUGACAGCAGAUGCUGGCAUGGGUUGUACCUUACUAUAGGAGUCUCUUCAGAGCAGUCAUUCUGCAGACAGAUAUCUGCUCCAAAGAACAAUUGAUGGGACCUGAGGUGCCCUGCAGGCUGCACUGAAAUCACUGGGUGCUGUGAGCAAUCACCAUCCUUUGAAAAGUCUGAAACUGAGCAUUCUGAGUAGAAUUCUGCAUUUUGCCAGAUCCUGCUGGGAAACAGCUGUGUUUAUACUUUGCACAUCUGUCAGAGCAGGCUGCUGAGAUCUCCAGAUCUGAGGACUGUCCCAGCUGAUUUAGCUCCUGGACACCUUUAGCUUCUGUCAUGGAUUCCUGCUUAUGAAUAGAUAAAACAGUGUACUGAAAGCUGCUGGGCAAAACUGUUGUGCUGAAUCCUUGGCAAGUUUCAGAAAGACAAACGCGAUGUUGUCAGACCAUCACCCAGUACAGUUGCAGUCACUCAACAGGCCAAAAGCAAGAUCCUGAUCUUGGGCAUCUCAGGAGCUGGACAUGAUGGCCCUGGGGAGUUCCUUCCAUCUCAGGAUAAUCUGAUUGCUGAACUGCUACUUACAGCUUUUCACAGCCUUCCUACUUGUUCUUGUUCAGUGCGUCUGUUUGAAAGUGUCUUGAAGAUGAAGUUAUUUCCUGGAGGAAUUCUGAAGGCAACAAGAAGCAUUUUCUCAAGGAGGGAAAAAAAAAAAACCAAACCCUGGAGUGACUUGUGCCUAAAUCCUGGAGCAGAACAGAGUGGCAGCCAGGGCUGCUUACCAGGACAGCAUUUUUGCCUUUUUGUCUCUCUGGGGAUUCUCAAGUAGGAAAGAAAACUGUGGUGUUACUGCUGGGAGGAUUUUUCCUGAUCCUGAGGGAAUCCAUUCUGGAAGCUUGAUCCAAAUGACAGCUGCCUCCAAUUACCACUCUACACAUUGCUGUGGUUAUUUGGUUACAAUCAAGACUGGAGGCUUGAUGACAGCUAGAAGUACCAGCAAGGAAACCUCAGAUGGUUCAGGCUACAGCAGCAUGGGUGCAGGACAACCUGGAUGAAAGUCAGCAGAACAUCUACAGGGCUAAUUAGGACCAUGACCUUGAAAAGGCAUUUUCCAGUACUGUUCACUUAGGUUGAAGCUAGAGACAGAGGAAGGUAUGCACUUCCCAUUAUGAGUGCUACUCCUAAGUUUUCCAACAGGUGCCAAGUAUGGUGGCUUUGAAAUGUAUUUUGGAGAGCUGACAAAGUGGUUAAAGCAGAUAAUUCAUAACAGGCUGUACUAAGACCAAAAAAACCCCACCAACUGGAGUGGUCAUUAAUUUGUGAGGUGAGCAGGCAGCACUCACCAAGCAAGUGGUGCACUGCCUGUUUCCCAGCCUGCCUCCAAACAUCUGCGCGCCUCAGAAGCAAGUGUAAUGUUAUUCUCCCAAGGUGACCCCCUGCUCUGCACUGCAGGAGAAUGAUGGUGAUGUUACAGGCUGGAAUGGAGUAGCAGAAGGUGAGUUGUUUGAAGGUGAAAUCCCAUACUUAUCUACUGCCGUGCUUUCUUUGUGAGGACCUGCAAACCCAUGGGGUGGUCUUUCUCUUUUCAUUCCUCUGCCUGUAUGCUUGGCUGAACCCCAGUGACUGAGCUGCAAGAAAGACCUUACAGUCUGCUGGGAUGGAGGAGCAUCCAGAGAGCCUGGGAGACACCCAAUGUCCCCAGGCACUGAUGUACCCUCUCUAAUACCCACAGAUGAUUCAAGCAAGGCUCAUCUUUCCCCCAACUUCUGAAAUAGCCAUGGGAGCCCUUCAUGGCAAGCUGCCCAUGGCAGGAACCAGUCAGAACCUGCUUCUCCCUGAUGGAAGCCAUCAAGGAAGAGAUGAACAGGAGACUUUGUAAAUGUCUUUAUAACAUGGAAAGCUUUGGAUUUAUGGUGAUAAAUAAUGUUUUCCGCAGUAUGCAUCAACCUGAUUAAUUUCUUUCUAAAUUUAUAGCUUGUGUGUCCUUUAAUCUAUCUUGUGCCAUAGCAACAAUAACAAGCUGAUUGCUGUACCAUUUCAAUCAGCAUCAGUGGCAGUGAGCAGAUGUAUCACUGCCUCAACAAUAGCAUAGGUUUCGUUUCUGAAAAACAUUACUUAGGGCUUUUACUCCAGUUGCAGACGUUAUCUUUUUGUUUUCUGAACUUCUGGUGAAGGAGAACUAACAGUGCUAUAUAAUGCUUUGUGUUUAAUGGAUCUUGUGGUAAGAAGGAUUGAAAAGCAAUACAAGCAGAAAG
rnacentral:lncRNA from 1 species